rnacentral:rRNA from 1 species
GGGUUAGUCGGGACCUAAGCUGAGGCCGAAAGGCGUAGGUGAUGGACAACAGGUUGAUAUUCCUGUACUACCGAUAACCGUUUGAGAGAAGGGAUGACACAGUAGGAUAAGCUAAGCACACUGUUGGUUAUGUGUGCCCAAGCAUUGAGGCAGUCAAAGUAGGCAAAUCCGCUUUGAUAAUGCUGGGAUGUGAUGGGGAGCGAAAUUUAGUAGCGAAGUAGCUGAUUUCACACUGUCAAGAAAAGUCUCUAUCGAGGUUAAAGGUACCCGUACCGCAAACCGACACAGGUGGGUGAGGAGAGUAUCCUAAGGCCAGCGAGAGAACUGUUGUUAAGGAACUCGGCAAAAUGACCCCGUAACUUAGGGAUAAGGGGUGCCACCAUCAGGUGGCCGCAGAGAAUAGGCCCAAGCGACUGUUUACCAAAAACAUAGGUUUCUGCUAAGUCGCAAGACGAUGUAUAGGAGCUGACGCCUGCCCGGUGCUGGAAGGUUAAGGGGAUCUGUUAGAG